UACGUAGGGUGCGAGCGUUAAUCGGAAUUACUGGGCGUAAAGCGUGCGCAGGCGGUUGGUUAAGUCUGAUGUGAAAGCCCCGAGCUCAACUUGGGAAUGGCAUUGGAAACUGGCUGGCUAGAGUGUGGCAGAGGGGGGUGGAAUUCCGCGUGUAGCAGUGAAAUGCGUAGAGAUGCGGAGGAACACCGAUGGCGAAGGCAGCCCCCUGGGCUGACACUGACGCUCAGGCGACGAAAGCGUGGG
rnacentral:rRNA from 1 species